GGCUUCGUAGCUAAGCUCGUAGAGCGUGCGUUGUACAAAAUCGUAGGCAGAGUCCAUGCAUGGGUUCGAAUCCCACCGAGGCUA
rnacentral:tRNA from 1 species